CCUACGGGAGGCAGCAGUGGGGAAUAUUGCACAAUGGGGGAAACCCUGAUGCAGCAACGCCGCGUGAGUGAAGGAGUGUUUCGGUAUGUAAAGCUCUAUCAGCAGGGAAGAAGCUGACGGUACCUGAGUAAAAAACCCCCGCCAACGACGUGACAGCAGCCGCGGUAAUACGUAGGGGGCCAGCGUUAUCCGGAUUUACUGGGUGUAAAGGGAGCGUAGACGGCGAGACAAGCCUGAGGUGAAAGCCCGGGGCUCAACCCCGGGACUGCUUUGGAAACUGCCUGACUGGAGUGCGGGAGAGGCAAGCGGAAUUCCUGGUGUAGCGGUGAAAUGCGUAGAUAUUAGGAAGAACACCAGUGGCGAAGGCGGCUUGCUGGACCGUAACUGACGUUGAGGCUCGAAAGCGUGGGGAGCGAACAGGAUUAGAUACCCGAGUAGUC
rnacentral:rRNA from 1 species